ACCGAGGCAGUCUGGGGAAAAGAGCGGCGGUGAGAAAAUUGCAGUGUUUGGCCGCCGUUAAUUUUAAAGAUUAAAAAAAGAAGAGAUUUGUCAUUUUGAAGCCGCUUGCUCUAGAGUUUCCUGGAGAUCUCAGCCUCUGUCUUGUGUGCUGUUAUUUUGGCUUAAAAGAACAUCUAGAAACGAUUUUCAGAAACUGAAACCCCAGACACCUUAUAGGAUCUUAAGCAGAAGGGGUGGGGAGGGGGAGUGCUUGCUGUUAGAAAGGUACUAUUUAAAAACUGCAUGUGAGAGUGGGGAUAGGAAUGACAUCGUGGAUGCCAUCAGAAGCCACAUUAACCGCAGGUUCUAACUCAAAAAAGUCACAUGCGUCUGAGUACUAUGAUGGUGGAGAGUUAAGGACACUGCAGGCCAGUCAGAAGCUUCUUUUCCCCUUUGGCUCUUCUCCCCGUUUUCACGUGGAUGUUCAGGUUUCUGAUGGCUGUCUGUUUUAUCUAUGCUAGCAUGGAUAUUGGACUUUCCGGUCUUCAAACUUACUCUCCUAGCCACAGAAGAUGACCCUUUUAGUUUACCGCGAGAUAUUAAGUGUUUGGGAAGAUCCGGUUGGCUGCCAGCACUUGCAAGUGAAGAAGCAGCACAACUCUUUGUUUUGGAUUAUUCCUAGCAGAGAGGCUCCAACAAUUUUGCAGACGGACUCCCGGGCCUCUGGAACCCGUACUACGUCCUUCACGUUCAGGAGCAGAGAGCCUUUGCGAAACAGAUUCCUGAUAGUGGAGGUAAGCCAAGGCAACGCUACCACUGUCUCAGACUUCUUAGAUGUGAGUGUGAACAUUUGAAGUGUUCGUAUACAAUGUUGCCACCUCUAGCAGGUGACUUUAUUUUUUAAUUAUUUUUUAAAAAAUAUUUAUUUUUUUGGGAGAGCACAAGCAGGGGAGGGGCAGAGAGUGGGGGACAGAGGAUCUGAAGCUGGCUCUGUGCUGACAGGCUGACAGCAGUGAGCCUGAUGUGGGACUUGAACCCAUGAAUCGUGACAUCACGACCUGAGCCAAAGUCAGACACUUAACUGACUGAGCCACCCAGGCGCCCCAUCCUCUCCUUCUUUAUAUACAGCUGUCUGUUAAUUUAUCUCUUAUUAGUUCAACAUGUGGCCAGAAGGCCCAUGAGACUAUUAAAGUAACCAGUGACUGGUCAGCACAUCCCAAAGUUAAGCUAU
rnacentral:lncRNA from 1 species